rnacentral:rRNA from 1 species
GACGAACGCUGGCGGCGUGCUUAACACAUGCAAGUCGAACGGAAAGGCCCUGCUUUUGUGGGGUGCUCGAGUGGCGAACGGGUGAGUAACACGUGAGUAACCUGCCCUUGACUUUGGGAUAACUUCAGGUAACUGGGGCUAAUACCGGAUAGGAGCUCCUGCUGCAUUGUGGGGGUUGGAAAGUUUCGGCGGUUGGGGAUGGACUCGCGGCUUAUCAGCUUGUUGGUGGGGUAGUGGCUUACCCAGGCUUUGACGGGUAGCCGGCCUGAGAGGGUGACCGGCCACAUUGGGACUGAGAUACGGCCCAGACUCCUACGGGAGGCAGCAGUGGGGAAUAUUGCACAAUGGGCGGAAGCCUGAUGCAGCAACGCCGCGUGCGGGAUGACGGCCUUCGGGUUGUAAACCGCUUUCGCCUGUGACGAAGCGUGAGUGACGGUAAUGGGUAAAGAAGCACCGGCUAACUACGUG